ensembl:rRNA 5S_rRNA 5S ribosomal RNA
GUCUAUGGCCAUACCACCCUGAAUGUGCCCGGUCUCAUCUGAUCUCGGAAGCUAAGCAGUGUCUGGCCUGGUUAGUACUUGGAUGGGGGGAUCCCAUCACAUUUACCUUAAAUAUACUCUAUGUUGUUAAAUAAA